rnacentral:rRNA from 1 species
AACGAACGCUGGCGGCAGGCCUAACACAUGCAAGUCGAGCGCCCCGCCAGGGGAGCGGCGGACGGGUGAGUAACGCGUGGGACCGUGCCCUUUGCUACGGAAUAGCCUCGGGAAACUGAGAGUAAUACCGUACGUGCCCUUCGGGGGAAAGAUUUAUCGGCAAAGGAUCGGCCCGCGUUGGAUUAGUUAGUUGGUGGGGUAAUGGCCUACCAAGCCGACGAUCCAUAACUGGUGCGAGAGGAUGAUCAGCCACACUGGGCCUGAGACACGGCCCAGACUCCUACGGGAGGCAUCAGUGGGGAAUCUUAGACAAUGGGCGCAAGCCUGAUCUAGCCAUGCCGCGUGAGCGAUGAAGGCCUUAGGGUUGUAAAGCUCUUUCAGUGGGGAAGAUAAUGACUGUACCCACAGAAGAAGCCCCGGCUAACUCCGUGCCAGCCGCCGCCGUAA